rnacentral:rRNA from 1 species
UACGAAGGGGGCUAGCGUUGUUCGGAAUCACUGGGCGUAAAGGGCGCGUAGGCGGCCGAUCAAGUCGGGGGUGAAAUCCUGGAGCUCAACUCCAGAACUGCCUUUGAUACUGGCGACCUUGAGUCCGGGAGAGGUGAGUGGAACUGCGAGUGUAGAGGUGAAAUUCGUAGAUAUUCGCAAGAACACCAGUGGCGAAGGCGGCUCACUGGCCCGGUACUGACGCUGAGGUGCGAAAGCGUGGGGAGCAAACAGG